GCCCUUAGAGUUUGAUCCUGGCUCAGAAUGAACGCUGGCGGCGUGCUUAACACAUGCAAGUCGUACGAGAAACCGGAACUUCGGUUCCGGGAGUAAAGUGGCGCACGGGUGAGUAACGCGUAGGUAAUCUACCCUUGGGUUUGGAAUAACUCGCCGGAAAGGCGGACUAAUACCGGAUAAAAUCUUUCAGAGGGAUCUGGAAGAUCAAAGGUGGCCUCUCCAUGGAUGCUACUGCCUGAGGAUGAGCCUGCGUCCCAUUAGCUUGUUGGUAGGGUAAUGGCCUACCAAGGCUACGAUGGGUAGCUGGUCUGAGAGGAUGAUCAGUCACACUGGAACUGGAACACGGUCCAGACUCCUACGGGAGGCAGCAGUGAGGAAUAUUGCGCAAUGGGGGAAACCCUGACGCAGCGACGCCGCGUGGGUGAAGAAGGCCUUCGGGUCGUAAAGCCCUGUCUAGAGGGAAGAAAUUCUCAAUGGAAUAAUACCCAUUGAGAUUGACGGUACCUCUGGAGGAAGCACCGGCUAACUCCGUGCCAGCAGCCGCGGUAAUACGGAGGGUGCAAGCGUUGUUCGGAAUUACUGGGCGUAAAGCGCGCGUAGGUGGUUGUGUAAGUCAGAUGUGAAAGUCCACGGCUCAACCGUGGAAGUGCAUUUGAAACUGGCAGACUUGAGUAUUGGAGGGGGUAGUGGAAUUCCCGGUGUAGAGGUGAAAUUCGUAGAUAUCGGGAGGCAUACCGGUGGCGAAGGCGACUACCUGGCCAGAUACUGACGCUGAGGCUCGAAAGCGUGGGGAGCAAACAGGAUUAGAUACCCUGGUAGUCCACGCCCUAAACGAUGGGCACUAAGUGUCGGCGGGGUUGACCCCGCCGGUGCCGCAGCUAACGCAAUAAGUGCCCCGCCUGGGGAGUACGGCCGCAAGGUUGAAACUCAAAGGAAUUGACGGGGGCCCGCACAAGCGGUGGAGUAUGUGGUUUAAUUCGACGCAACGCGCAGAACCCUACCUGGUCUUGACAUUAUCUUGCCCGUCUAAGAAAUUAGAUCUUCUUCCUUUUGGAAGACGAGAUAACAGGUGGUGCAUGGUUGUCGUCAGCUCGUGUCGUGAGAUGUUGGGUUAAGUCCCACAACGAGCGCAACCCUUAUGCUUAGUUGCUAACUUGUUUUACAAGUGCACUCUAAGCAGACUGCCGCAGAUAAUGCGGAGGAAGGUGGGGAUGACGUCAAAUCAUCAUGCCCCUUACGUCCCGGGCUACACACGUGCUACAAUGGUCUGUACAGAGGGUAGCGAAAGAGCGAUCUUAAGCCAAUCCCAAAAAGCAGGCCCCAGUUCGGAUUGGAGGCUGCAACUCGCCUCCAUGAAGUAGGAAUCGC
rnacentral:rRNA from 1 species